rnacentral:RNase_P_RNA from 1 species
AGGCAGGUUGGCUCUGUCGCUCAUAUCAAACUGUAUGAGAGGAAAGUCCGGGCAACAUAGAGUAUCGCACUUGUGAAACUGCAAGAUAGCCGUAAGGUUAUGCGCACCGUAGAAGAAAAUAACCGCCCAUAAGGGUAAGGGUGAGAAGGUGGUGUAAGAGACCACCGCGUCGGCAGUGAUGUUCGGCGGUCAGUGCGGGCUGCGAGUUGCAAGACCAAAUAGACCGAUGAGGGCUCUGCGCAAGCGGGGUCGAGAGGGUUACUCGCCUGAGUCGGAGGGUAGGUUGCUGAUGAGUCGUUAUAGCAAUAUGCGACCAAGAUAAAUGACAGAGAUCUUUUCCUCGGGAAAGGUACAGAACCCGGCUUAUACGAUUUGCCUUAAA